rnacentral:tRNA from 1 species
GGGACUUUAGCCAAGUGGUAAGGCGUGGGACUGCAACUCCCUGAUCACCAGUUCAAAUCUGGUAGGUCCCU